rnacentral:rRNA from 1 species
AACGAACGCUGGCGGCAGGCUUAACACAUGCAAGUCGAACGAGAAGCCACCUUCGGGUGGUGGAUAGUGGCAGACGGGUGAGUAACGUGUGGGAACGUGCCUUUCGGUUCGGGAUAACCCAGGGAAACUUGGGCUAAUACCGGAUACGCCCUCCGGGGGAAAGAUUCAUUGCCGAAAGAUCGGCCCGCGUCGGAUUAGCUAGUUGGUGGGGUAAAAGCCUACCAAGGCGACGAUCCGUAGCUGGUCUGAGAGGAUGACCAGCCACACUGGGACUGAGACACGGCCCAGACUCCUACGGGAGGCAGCAGUGGGGAAUAUUGGACAAUGGGCGCAAGCCUGAUCCAGCCAUGCCGCGUGGGUGAAGAAGGCCCUAGGGUUGUAAACCCCUUUCAGCGGGGAAGAUAAUGACGGUACCCGCAGAAGAAGCCCCGGCUAACUCCGUGCCAGCCGCCGCGGUAAGAC